CUGGGCUCCAGGCUGAGAUGCUGGAGUCCGCUCCCGGGAAGGCGCGGACGCACUUGCCACCCAGGGCUGAGCCGGCGAGCGCGCACCCUACGGGAGCCGCCGGCGCCUCCCCGCGGCCCGGGACGCACGUGCCUGGGCCAGGGCCAAGGCCAGUGGCCACUCCGUAGUAGCCGGGGAGGGUGCGAGCGCCUGGCUUCGGGCCGCGGCCGCCGCCCGCCCGCCUGCUCCGGUGGUUGGGCGGAGGAAGCGCGGGACUCCUCCUCCUCCCCGCCGUAUUAACAUGCACCCAGGGGCGGGUGACCAGCCCAGCCUCGCCGCCCCUGCCCGCCGCUGCUGCGUCCCGGCGCUCAGCCUCCGCGCCAGAGGCGAGCCUUGCGCUCCCGGCGCCGCAAUCGCGAGGACGCGGCCUCGCAGACACCUUCCUCCGGCGGGGAGCGGCAGGACCGGUGGUGCGAGCGGCCGCAGCCACCUCGGCGCCCGGCUAGGCUCCUUCCCAAACCCUCGCUGAGAGGCGUCCCCGGCCGCGGAGCCACGGCUCUGACCCUCGCUCCGAAGCUCGUGGGACGGACGGGCAGACGGACAGACGCCACCAGCGAGUUCCGGACUGCGGGCAGUGGCAAGAAAACUGUGAGUGGUACUGCUGGGCAACUUCUAGUGACAACAACUCAUUCCUUUUCCUGGGACACUUUGUUCAGAAGACCAGCACACAUCCAAUUCACUGAGAUAUAACCCCAAACUGACAGAGUUCUUCUAGAGGGGACUUCAUUAGUCUCACCAAGACUGCUCAGUGACCCCAAAGUAUAAUUUCUGUAGACCUCCCAGAUUUAUCAUCCAAAGCUAUGUAAAUUGCUUUCCUAAUUUCCAUCAAAAUACACAAAACACAUAACAAAAGGAAUUUAAGGAAAUAUGGAUUUAUUGGAUCGUAAGUUGAUCCAUUAAGGUGGAAAAGCAAGGUGGCAGCCGGUUCCAUUGCAUCCUCAGAAAGUACCUUGGUUCCUGGUUUUAAGCUCACUUUCUUCUGAUUCAGGCAAAGACCCCAAAUCAUGAAAUAGUCCCACCCAUAUUUAUGGUGAGUCAUCCAAUGUCAACUAAACCAAUGUAGAAACUCGCUCAGGGAUAUAUAACGAUAACUCUUUCCGUCAGCCUCCUGAGUCCCGCUGCCACGUUAGGGCCCCCAAAUAACACACAGAGUCUCAUAUUAGUUACAAUGCUGCUGGCAAAUGACUAGGAUUUCUUAUUUGCUAGCUCAGUCUUAAUUAUCAACCAUAACUACUAAUCUAUAUAUUUUCAAGAGGACUUGCCUUACCGAGGACGCAGGCCUUAUGCGUCCUCUCUUCCCGGGAUCACAUGGUAACCCACUACAUUUCUCAGAAUCCUCGUCAACUCCUAGUCCCGCCUAUCCUGCUUCCCUAUUGGCCAAUAGUGCUUUAUUCAUCAACCAAUAAGACAAACACAUACACAGAAGGCCUUCCCCCAUCAGGGAUGUGCUCAGAUGUUUGCUUCUAGGGGAUCCUAGGUCCCAUCAAGUUGAUAAUAUAUCAUCAGAAGGGCUAACUCAUACUCUCCUUGGACUGUCAUAGAUUCCUGAAAAAUAUUUUGACAGUUCAGUCAGCAGUAAUGAGUGCAGUGUGCUAUGUGGAACAUACAUAAACUCAUUUUAAUGUAAAUAUGUGGCUAAAGUACCUAAGGAGGUAUGCAGUGGGAUGUUCUCACCAGCACCUACUCAUCAACAUACUAGGAUGUUCAUAGUUUGCUUAUGGUUUACAUUGGUGGCUUUUAUUCCAGACAUUGAAAGCUUAUCUCUUGAUAUAUCAGUUUAUUCCCCAAGUAGAAGUAGAAACCAACCAGUAGUUACUGUUCUGAAUCAUGAAAAUAUCACAAGUGAUUCACAGCAUAUGCACACUUUUAAAUACCUGAAUGUGAUAAGAUACUGACAGAAUUUUAAUUCAGAAGCUCCAGGGCAUUUACAUAUAUUAAAACAACCCUAGCAUUUCAAUUGCUGAUCUCUUCUUUUAAAGUACACUUUGCACCAAAUGCUUCAUAGUGUUUGGGUUUUGUGAACUUAAAAUAGAAAAUGGGUAAUUUUGGUUUCUGGUUUUUACAUUCUCAAGUUUGGUAUACAGUCAUUCCUUGGUGUCCCUGGGUUCUGAUUCCAGGAUGCCCUUUCAAUCUCCAUACCUUGGCAUGUUGGUGUUCCUUAUAUAAAAUAGCACAGUGUUUUCAUCAAACCUACUCAACCCUUUCAGGGAGGUAUUCAUGAUCAUGUCUAGAUUACUUACAAUGCAGAACACAGUAUCAAUAGUGUGUUGUUUGGGGAACAAUGACAAGGAAAAUCUGUAUUCCUUUUUAUGGUCUCAUUAAUUCUUUGAUAAUUUCAUUGUCUUUUGAACAUUUUUACCCUUUUUUUUCCUAUUUUCCCCAUGUUCCACCCCAUUCCACACCCACCCAACUUUGUAUACUAACAUUUUUUUAAACCACUGAAUCCCAUUAAUGUUUCCUACAUACUCUUUAUAUGUGGCCAUGCACUGGAGCAUGUUAAGCCAAUCAGGGCCAUACUCUUAAGGAAAAUUAAUAAUGCUAUGUAAUUCUUCAAAUGUUAGAUACAUAGUUGGUGGGUAUGCUGAUUAUUGAGAGUUGUCAGCAAAAUCUGAAAUCAUCUGGGAGACAGACCUCUGGGUGUUCCCGGCAUUAUAUGUUAUAUGUAUAGCUUCAAUUGGGAUGGAAGGACCCAUCAUUGUAACCCCACUCUCUGGCUUGGACCCUGGCUGUAUUAAGGGAGAAACCUGAGCAGCUGUAGGCCUCUACAGUCCUAUUUCCCCACUGCAAUGUGGCAAGUGCUUCAGGUUCCUGUUAACUUGAUUCCCC
ensembl:lncRNA